GGCAGGGGGCAGUACUAGCACAGUGUACUCAAACUCUCCUGCGGGUCCAGGUCAUGAAUCGGGUCCAGGUCAUGCAUCUGGUCCAGGUAGCCAAAGAGCAACAGCUUACCUCAAAAUAAAUGUUCAAACCGCUUCAGGGGAAAAUCAGGAAACCAUUCUCAACAGCAUAUCUAAUUUUGUUUCCCAGAAUCUUCUCCAGAUGUGUGAAAAUUGCACUUUUACAGUGAGACCCUCAAAAACAACAUCAGCACAGGGCUCUCCUUAAAAAUAACAAUAGGAAACCUUACUUUUUUUCCUAAGAUGGCUGUAGGUUCCAGAGUCAUACAAAUGUAGCACAAUGGACUGAAUUCAAAAUUAAAUGUCUUCUGAAUGAGCAAAAGUUUUCAAAAAAGCAACAGGAAGCUGAGACCCAUGUAUGCUUAUUCUGAACGCUCAAAUGGAUUUUUUGUGAAUUACACGAAAACUAAUUACAGCGAUAUAUGGUUUCAGCAGACAGUAACAUUGCUGUUUUAUAGGCUCUAUUCACACUUAUGUCAACCGGAAGACAUUUGAAAACAUGUGGAUGACGACUUCCUUUGGGCUCUGUUGGCGAUUGUAACUCUAUCUAUAAAUUCUGGGAAAACUGAGAAAAUGACCCGGUUUUCUUCAUCUAGAUGUCAUUGUAUUCUUUCUUUUUUCCUUUUAUAAACUGCCUAUUAAUUUGCGUAUUAUAAUAUGUUUCAUGAAAAAAAAAGAUGUCAUUGUAGCAUUCUUUUAUGUUCGGCAGAUCAACAGUUACAACCAGCUGCCUGAAAGUGACAUCAAGCUGUGAUUAGAAUCACAUCCCCCUUGCAUGGAAAGCUUUGGCAGAUUGUGAAGAGCUCUGUUGCUAAAUCCAUGGUUUUACAACAUGCAGUUAUAAUAUGGUUUUCUUUGUAAAUAAAAAGUUUUCACUCUUUAUACUGA